UGCAACAGAGAGUAGACCGCCUUCGGGUAAGGGUGAAAGGGUGGGGUAAGAGCCCACCGCGGUUCAGGUGACUGAAUUGGCACGGUAAACCUCAUACGCUGAAAUGUCAUGUAUAUCGUGUUCCUUAUGGACCAGGCGACCCGCUUGGAGUUUACUGCACGAGGGGUAGGCAGAUGGAGCGCAUUCGCGAGGGUGCGCCUAGAUAAAUGAUAAGGACCCGCAAGGGGACAGAAUCCGGCUUAUAUCGUCUAACGUUUG
rnacentral:RNase_P_RNA from 1 species